GGAUUGAGCAAUACUCAAACUGAAGAGAGUGUAUUUGUGGAGAUCCAAAAAUAAAAAAAAAUCCAUUGUCUGUAGUACUGGGAACACAAGACACUGCCCCAGAUGAGAUGUACUGUUAUUAAGUCACUCAGAAAUGCUGCAUCUGAUCAAACAAUUUGAGACAGCGUUAACAUAAACCUUUCUGCAGGAGCACUGUUAGAAACCAUGCACUCAUCCUCACAUAACCCCUUGUGAGUGCUAAACUAAGAAUUUGCUUUCCCUGUUGAGACAGUGGGAACCAGCUUGUGUGAAUGUACAAAUUAAAAUAAACCCCUUCUCUCUGCAGUAAGCAUGCCCUGAACUGAAACACCUGGUUCUCUUGAGAAAUGCCCCAGACAGCAUGGAUAGAGUCAAGGAUAAAAACAUGGGCCUUGGGAUGCCACUUUGGUUUGCUUUUUCUGGAACCAGCCCAGGGUUCAUGAGCAAAGGCAUCCUCAAGGAUUUCCUUACAAGAGGCAUGAAAGGUCCUGAGGCCAAUAACAGCCAAGGCCGUUUAUCAGGGAGAAGCCAAACAGUGGCUUGUGAUUUUUGUUUGCCUGGGGUAGCGGAGACUUCCUUUGCUGCUCCCCGCUAGUGAAACUGUUCACCACUGACCUAGCCCGCUGACCCGAGUUCACAGGAUGACUCUGACCACUAUGUUGACAGGGACAGCAUCUUCCCCAGUCCUUCCAGCACCUACCCCUUCACCAUGUUGUGCUAGUGGAAGGAGCUGAGCUGCUGCACAAAAGGAGGACAGUGUAGGCAUCCCAUCUCUCCCGCAGGGACCAGGGCCAUAGAUCUACCUAUCAAUAAAUGCAACAGCCAGCACCACAACAGAUCACUGGUGCUCUUGGCUGAGUGACCUGUACUCAGCAGUGAUUUCUGCCUAGUGUCCUUGGUCAAGUGAACCCCCUCCCCAGUGCUAAUUUGCAACUACUGAAUAGAGCAGCUGUGGGGAGUUUAAUAGGCAAAGGUUUGAAAGUUGAUGAGAGUAUCAGGUAAGACCAACAGCAGCUACAGCCACUUCUAUGUAAGCCUGGGAUGCAUGUGGGGUUGGUGAUAAACUGGGGGGGUUAGCUGGAUACAACCAGAGCUCUCCAGAUUUGCAUUCAGGACAUCUCCUCCCAUCACAGGUUUUUAUAAAGGAAGCUGAGGGUGUGCAGUUCAGUCCAGAGUCCCCUCUUACUGCGUCUUCUGCUUCUAGGAUGGCCGGGGUCACUGCAGUGCUGGUGCUGGUAGCCUGUUGGGCAGGUUCCACCUACCAGUUCACUUUGACUCAGCCAUCCAGCGCGUCAGUAGCUCCAGGACAAACUGUCAAACUGGCAUGCGUUACAAGCAGUGGAAGCAGCAUCACUGAUCGUGUUGUACGCUGGUACCAGCAGAAGCCAGGGGAGAAGCCAAGAUAUCUGCUGUAUUACAGGGAUGAAUCUACAAACCACAAAGGCUCUGGGGUCCCCAAUCGGUUUUCAGCUUCUAAAAGCACUUCUACGAACACCUGCUUCUUAACCAUUGCCCAGGUCCAAGCAGAGGAUGAGGCUGAGUACUACUGUGCUGACUGGGAUGGUUCCUCUAAGCAGUACACAGUAGAAGAGCUGCAUGAAGUAGAGGAACAAAAACUCAUCCUCACCCCUGGCUGACAGUGCCUGAAGCGCCCCUGCACUGCUCCUGUCAUGGGCCGUGAGCUGGUCACACUGUCAUGGCUCAAACAAACCGGUCCCUUAUGUAGGGUUUUCAUUUAAUACACACAAGUUCAGGCCCCUCUGCCCAACAAAAUAAAUCAAAAAUAAUAUUGCCUCUUUGGUUUAGUCCACAAAUAUUAUCCAGCCUCUCCCAGCAGCAACAACCUCCUUCAGCCUCCCUUUCUGUCAGCUUAGAGACCUUUCUAAAACGUCCCAGCUGAAAGCAUGCCGAGGGAUUGCCAAGCAAGGCUCACAGCCCCUUCUGGAUCCUUAAAGGAUCUCUUCCCCCUGUCACGCAGCUAUCCUAUAGAGCUACUAGUUUCAGGCUCAGCACAGUCUCCAGUUCCUCUCAGCUCUCACAGCCUGGCAGCUGCUGGCUUUUCUGGCUGCAGAUGUCACCUGCCUUCCGACUGAAACCCAG